GACGAACGCUGGCGGCGUGCCUAAUACAUGCAAGUAGGACGCAGUUGCGAACGGGUGAUUAACGCGUAGGCACCUACCUAUGAGAGGGGGAUAACUCUUGGAAACGAUAGCUAAUACCGCCUACUAGUAGAUGUACCUGGGUGGUAUUUGCUAGUAGGUAGGGUAAGGGCCUACCUAGGCAACGAUACAUAGCCGACCGGAGAGGGUGAUCGGCCACACUGGAACUGAGACACGGCCCAGACUCCUACGGGAGGCAGCAGUGGGAAUCUUCGGCAAUGGGGGGAACCCUGACCGAGCAAAGCCGCGUGAGUGAAGAAGGUUUUCGGAUCGUAAAGCUCUGUUGUUAAGGAAGCGUUACUUAACCAGAAAGGGACGGCUAACUACGUGCCAGCAGCCGCGGUAAUUC
rnacentral:rRNA from 1 species